rnacentral:misc_RNA from 1 species
UUGCUGUAGGUGAACCUGCAGCAGGAUCAGUAUUCGGAUAAAACUCAAAAAAUUAACAGUGACUGGCGACUAUGAGAAACCAGCAGUGUCAUCAUUUGGUGAUAUCUAUGGGAUACUAGUUUAUCCUUAGCUGGGAGCCACCCCGUUUUUUUUCCUUUAAAGUACUUAACAAUGAAUCUCUUGGCUCGU